rnacentral:rRNA from 1 species
GAUGAACGCUGGCGGCGUGCUUAACACAUGCAAGUCGAACGGAAAGGCUCCUGCUUUCAGGGGUACUCGAGUGGCGAACGGGUGAGUAACACGUGGGUGAUCUGCCCUGCACUUCGGGAUAAGCCUGGGAAACUGGGUCUAAUACCGGAUAGGACGAUGGUUUGGAUGCCAUUGUGGAAAGUUUUUUCGGUGUGGGAUGAGCUCGCGGCCUAUCAGCUUGUUGGUGGGGUAAUGGCCUACCAAGGCGUCGACGGGUAGCCGGCCUGCGAGGGUGUACGGCCACAUUGGGACUGAGAUAGGGCCCAGACGCCUACGGGAGGCAGCAGGGGGGAAUAUUGCACAAUGGGCGCAAGCCUGAGGCAGCGACGCCGCGUGGGGGAUGACGGCCUUCGGGGGGUAAACUCCUUUCGCUGGGGACGAAGCGCAAGUGACGGUACCUGGAGAAGAAGCACCGGCUAACUACGUG